UGGGGAAUAUUGCACAAUGGGGGGAACCCUGAUGCAGCGACGCCGCGUGAGUGAAGAAGUAUCUCGGUAUGUAAAGCUCUAUCAGCAGGGAAGAAGAUGACGGUACCUGACUAAGAAGCCCCGGCUAACUACGUGCCAGCAGCCGCGGUAAUACGUAGGGGGCGAGCGUUAUCCGGAUUUACUGGGUGUAAAGGGAGCGUAGACGGCCGUGCAAGUCAGGAGUGAAAACCCGCGGCUCAACUGCGGGACUGCUCUUGAGACUGUAUGGCUGGAGUGCAGGAGAGGUAAGUGGAAUUCCUAGUGUAGCGGUGAAAUGCGUAGAUAUUAGGAGGAACACCAGUGGCGAAGGCGGCCUGCUGGGCUUUUACUGACGCUGAGGCUCGAAAGUGUGGGGAGCAAACAGGAUUAGAUACCC
rnacentral:rRNA from 1 species